GACGAACGCUGGCGGCGUGCUUAACACAUGCAAGUCGAACGAAGUGGCGAACGGGUGAGUAACGCGUAAUCAACCUGCCCUUCAGAGGGGGACAACAGUUGGCAACGACUGCUAAUACAGCAUACUGAAGGAGGGGAUGGCGUCUGCUUCGCUAGUUGGAGGGGUAACGGGCCACCAAGGCGAUGAUCAGUAGCCGGUCUGAGAGGAUGAACGGCAACAUUGAGACUGAGGCACGGCCCAGACUCCUACGGGAGGCAGCAGUGGGGAAUCUUCCGCAAUGGACGAAAGUCUGACGGGGCAACGCCGCGGGAGUGAUGACGGCCUUCGGGUUGUAAAGCUCUGUUAAUCGGGACGCGGUACCGGAAUAGAAAGCCACGGCUAACUACGUGCCAGCAGCCGCGGUAAUUC
rnacentral:rRNA from 1 species